rnacentral:rRNA from 1 species
AUGAGUUGCCUAGUCUGGAACUAUCGUGGGGCUGGCAGACCUGUGACAGUUCGAGAGCUUCGAGAUCUAUCGAAGCAACUUGCCCCCUCUAUUGUAUGCAUUCUCGAAACUCAGAUAGAGGGCUCACGUGUUGAGAAUCUUGUAGGAACUUUAGGUUACAAUAAAAGCUUUACUAUAAGCAGCUCCGGUAGGAGCGAUGGACUAGGCAUUUUUUGGAAUGAGGAAAUA